GACGAACGCUGGCGGCGUGCCUAAUACAUGCAAGUAGAACGCACAGUUUAUACCGUAGCUUGCUACACCAUAGACUGUGAGUUGCGAACGGGUGAGUAACGCGUAGGUAACCUGCCUGGUAGCGGGGGAUAACUAUUGGAAACGAUAGCUAAUACCGCAUAAUAUUGAUUAUUGCAUGAUAAUUGAUUGAAAGAUGCUAUUGCAUCACUACCAGAUGGACCUGCGUUGUAUUAGCUAGUAGGUGAGGUAACGGCUCACCUAGGCGACGAUACAUAGCCGACCUGAGAGGGUGAUCGGCCACACUGGGACUGAGACACGGCCCAGACUCCUACGGGAGGCAGCAGUAGGGAAUCUUCGGCAAUGGACGGAAGUCUGACCGAGCAACGCCGCGUGAGUGAAGAAGGUUUUCGGAUCGUAAAGCUCUGUUGUAAGAGAAGAACGGGUGUGAGAGUGGAAAGUUCACACUGUGACGGUAUCUUACCAGAAAGGGACGGCUAACUACGUG
rnacentral:rRNA from 1 species